ACCAUCACUUCAUCUCAGCUGGAUGAUUUAGCUCGAGAGAUAGAGAGACUCCAUAGCCAGCUUCGUUCUUCUCUUGAGUUGAUUCGGAUAGACAUCAAAGAUUUUGGAGACUUCAUAUCUACUAAUCUAGAUGGGCUCUGAGUUACAGUGAGGAAGAUCUUGUCCCAGCUUGAUGCCAUUAGGACUCAGCUUCAGUCUAGGCCCUUUGCAUCUAGUGAGCCAGCCUUUGUUCAGCCAUUGCUUUUCAUCCUCCGGCAUCUUUCUCUCGGACC
rnacentral:lncRNA from 1 species